UACGGGGGGGAGCAAGCGUUGUUCGGAUUUACUGGGCGUAAAGGGCGCGUAGGCGGCCACCGCAAGUCGAUUGUGAAAUCUCCGGGCUUAACUCGGAAAGGUCAACCGAUACUGCGGGGGCUAGAGUGCAGAAGGGGGCAACUGGAAUUCUCGGUGUAGCGGUGAAAUGCGUAGAUAUCAGGAGGAACACCGGUGGCGAAGGCGGCCUGCUGGGAUCUUCUGACGCUGAGGCGCGACAGCGUGGGGGAGCAAACAGG
rnacentral:rRNA from 1 species